rnacentral:rRNA from 1 species
GUGGGGAAUAUUGCACAAUGGGCGAAAGCCUGAUGCAGCGACGCCGCGUGGGGGAUGAAGGCCUUCGGGUUGUAAACUCCUUUCGCUAGGGACGAAGAUGUAUUUUGACGGUACCUGGAGAAGAAGCACCGGCUAACUACGUGCCAGCAGCCGCGGUAAUACGUAGGGUGCGAGCGUUGUCCGGAAUUACUGGGCGUAAAGAGCUCGUAGGUGGUUUGUCACGUCGUCUGUGAAAUCCCGGGGCUUAACUUCGGGCGUGCAGGCGAUACGGGCAUAACUUGAGUGCUGUAGGGGAGACUGGAAUUCCUGGUGUAGCGGUGAAAUGCGCAGAUAUCAGGAGGAACACCAAUGGCGAAGGCAGGUCUCUGGGCAGUAACUGACGCUGAGGAGCGAAAGCAUGGGUAGCGAACAGGAUUAGAAACCCGAGUAGUCC